AUGAACCCCCAAAACCCCUCCACCACUCCCCCAGACCCCCCAAAACUGCCCCGGGAUCUGCCCAGGACCCCUCGGGACUCCCCCAAAACCCCCUCAGGACCCCCAGGACCCCCUCGGGACCCCCCAAGCCCCCCCGGGACCUCCCCAAAACCCCCCCAGGACACCCCAAACCCCCUCGGGAUCCCCCCAAAACCCCCCCGGGACCCCCUCGGGACACCCAAAACCCCCUCGGGACCCCCCCAAAACCCUCCCAGGACCCCCGAAGCCCCCCCGGGACCCCCCCAAACCCCCUCGGGACCCCCCCAAAACCCUCCCAGGACCCCCGAAGCCCCCCCGGGACCCCCCCAAAGCCCCUCGGGACCCCCCAGGACCCCCUCGGGACCCCCAAAACCCCCUCGGGAUCCCCCCAAACCCCCUCGGGACCCCCCCAAAACCCUCCCAGGACCCCCGAAGCCCCCCCGGGACCCCCCCAAAGCCCCUCGGGACCCCCCGGGACCCCCUCGGGACACCCCAAACCCCCUCGGGACCCCCCCAAACCCCCCCCAGGACCCCCGAAGCCCCCCCGGGACCCCCCCAAAGCCCGGCCCUGAAUGGCCGCGCUGUUCCCGCUCUGAGCCGCCUUUGUUCGGCCCGGGGGGGUGGGGGGGGCCCGGUUGCCAUGGGAACGGUCACCAAACCCCCCCCCCAACCCGGUGUCACCGCGCCAGCGCCACCCGCGGCCACCGGGGGGGCAGGGACCCGCUUUUGGGGGGUCCCCGCUCCAUUCUGGGGGGUCCCUGUUCCAUUCUGGGGGGUCCCCGUUCAAUUCUGGGGGGUCCCCGUUCAAUUCUGGAGGGUCCCCGUUCAAUUUUGGGGGGUCCCCGUUCCAUUUUGGGGGGUCCCCGUUCCAUUUUGGGGGGUCCCCGUUCCAUUUUGGGGGGUCCCUGUCCAAAUUUGGGGUCCCUGUCCAAAUUUGGGGUCUCCCAUAUUCCAUCUGGGGGUCCCCAAAUCCCUCCCAGAACCCACAAAUCCCCCAAAAUUCUCCCCCAAAUCCCCCCAAAUCCUCCACAACCCCCCCAAAAUCCCCCCAAACACCCCCAAAAUCCCCCAGACUCCCCCCAAAUCCCCCCCAAAUCCUCCUCAAUCCCCCGAAACCCCCCAAAAUCCCCGCAAAUCCCCCCCAGAUCCCCCAAAAUCCUCCCCAAAAUUCCCCCAAAUCCC
rnacentral:lncRNA from 1 species